rnacentral:rRNA from 1 species
UACGAAGGGGGCUAGCGUUGCUCGGAAUCACUGGGCGUAAAGCGCACGUAGGCGGAUCUUUAAGUCAGGGGUGAAAUCCUGGAGCUCAACUCCAGAACUGCCUUUGAUACUGGGGAUCUCGAGUCCGGAAGAGGUGAGUGGAACUCCGAGUGUAGAGGUGAAAUUCGUAGAUAUUCGGAAGAACACCAGUGGCGAAGGCGGCUCACUGGCCCGUAACUGACGCUGAGGUGCGAAAGCGUGGGGAGCAAACAGG